rnacentral:rRNA from 2 species
UGUGAAACGCCCUUUACCCCCUCUUAGGGACAAGGAGCUGGUAUCAGGCACGAAAAUCUGCCCAAAACACCUAGCUAUGCCACACCCACAAGGGAACUCAGCAGUGAUUAACAUUGAGCAUUAGCGCAAGCUUGACUCAGCUAAAGUAAACAGAGCCGGCUAAUCUGGUGCCAGCCGCCGCGGCUUACACCACGUGGCUCAAAUUGAUCUCCUCCGGCGUAAAGCGUGAUUAAAGUCAGACCUAGCUAGAGUUAAACUAAAACUAAGCUGUGACACGCUUGUUCUCUAAGAAGCUCAUAAACGAAAGUUACUCUAAGACAAACAACUUGAAUUCACGACAGCUGGGGCACAAACUGGGAUUAUAUACCCCACUAUGCCCAGCCGUAAACUUUUAUUU